rnacentral:rRNA from 1 species
AAUCAACGCUGGCGGCGUGCCUCAGACAUGCAAGUCGAACGAUUAAAGCUCUCUUCGGAGAGUGUAUAGAGUGGCGCACGGGUGAGUAACACGUAAGUAAUCUACCCUCGAGUGGGGAAUAACGUCCGGAAACGGACGCUAAUACCGCAUAAUGCAGCGGCACCGCAAGGUGACAGUUGUUAAAGGAGAAAUUCGCUUGAGGAGGAGCUUGCGGCAGAUUAGCUUGUUGGUAAGGUAACGGCUUACCAAGGCUACGAUCUGUAACCGGUCUUAGAGGACGGUCGGUCACACUGACACUGAAUAACGGGUCAGACUCCUACGGGAGGCAGCAGUCGGGAAUUUUGGGCAAUGGGCGAAAGCCUGACCCAGCAACGCCGCGUGAAGGAUGAAGUAUUUCGGUAUGUAAACUUCGAAAGAAUAGGAAGAAUAAAUGACGGUACUAUUUAUAAGGUCCGGCUAACUACGUGCCAGCCGCCGCGGUAAU